rnacentral:rRNA from 1 species
UACGUAGGGGCAAGCGUUGUCCGGAUUUAUUGGGUGUAAAGCGCGUGUAGGCGGCUGGGUAGGUCCGCUGUGAAAACUCGAGGCUCAACCUCGAGACGUCGGCGGAAACCAUCCAGCUAGAGUCCGGAAGAGGAGAGUGGAAUUCCUGGUGUAGCGGUGAAAUGCGCAGAUAUCAGGAAGAACACCCGUGGCGAAAGCGGCUCUCUGGGACGGUACUGACGCUGAGACGCGAAAGCGUGGGGAGCGAACAGG